UUAGCCUAAUGGUGAUAUUCUUCUUUUCCAGCAGCAACUUUCCCGGAUUCGAUCGGCGUCGAAAUAAAUUCACUAGAACCGGACGGAGAUGACUGUUUUUGACUCAGCUCAACACCAAGAUAUUUCAACGAUAUUUUCUCAGUCACAGGCACGGACAGUGAUUCUUCACCAGCCACAGCAACUAUCUCAGCUUGGUGAUCCUCGAGCCGAUGUUGCGUUUAUUCGGCGAAUUCGCCACCUUGUCAACAAUAACACGUAGGGAGCUGUUUUUCUUCUUUUUCUUGCUUCGAAGGAGUUUGAAACGAUGCCGCCAUCGUAGAAAUUGGAUCCACUUGCCUGACUGAGCGAAUGGCUGUCACAUCUAGAAACACUAGGCGAGUCGCUUUUCUUUUUCUUAUGUCACAGCUUCCGUCCGGGAUGACUGAACUCUCAGCCUUCAGCAUCCAUAUUGAACAGAGAUGCCGGAACAAUACUGCAGUGUCUGGAAAACUGCCAGGAUUGCAG